AAUUAGGUAAUACUUAUAAGCACAGUAUUUUGUAAAAAGCAGUUUGCAGGGAUACGAUUAUAAACUUAAGCGAACAUGAAGAUCGUAGCUUUUCUUCUUGUCUUUGCCUUAUUUGUAACAAUAUCCCUCUGUGAUAAAGCGAAUGAGAGUGCACAAUUUAAUGGGUUAACAGACAAUUUGAAUCUGAGGUCGAAAUUUCAAAAUAUUAUACAAGAUUUUACAGGAUCUGCAACUCUUCUUCAAAGAUCUUGUUCAUGUUCAUGCGAAAAUGAUGACGAAGACGGAAGUUCUAUAAAAAUUACAUUAGAUGUAGCAAAGUUUAUUCAAAUAAUAGCCAGCGUUUUGAUAAUAAUUUUUGACGUUUUCACAUCAAACUGGUGUGGCGUUAUUUCAAAUAUUGUUACAGUUUCCACCAUUUUAAGUUCAAACUGUAUAUCGAGCUAGAGCCUGAAUAAUAAUAAACAAUCGAAUGUUAACAUGAAAUAAAGUUUGCAGUUUCAGA